UAGAGUUUGAUCAUGGCUCAGGAUGAACGCUAGCGGCAGGCCUAAUACAUGCAAGUCGAGGGGUAAGAGUCAGCUUGCUGACUACACGACCGGCGCACGGGUGAGUAACGCGUAUGCAACCUACCUUUAACAGAGGAAUAGCCCCGAGAAAUCGGGAUUAAUACCACAUAACAUUAUGAUAUGGCAUCAUAUUAUAAUUAAAACUCUGGUGGUUAAAGAUGGGCAUGCGUGACAUUAGCUUGUUGGUGAGGUAACUGCUCACCAAGGCAACGAUGUCUAGGGGUUCUGAGAGGAUGAUCCCCCACACUGGUACUGAGACACGGACCAGACUCCUACGGGAGGCAGCAGUAAGGAAUAUUGCGCAAUGGAGGAAACUCUGACGCAGCCAUGCCGCGUGCAGGAUUGAAGGCCUUAUGGGUCGUAAACUGCUUUUAUU
rnacentral:rRNA from 1 species